GUAGUCCACGCCCUAAACGAUGAGUACUAAACGUUGGGUAAAACCAGUGUUGAAGUUAACACAUUAAGUACUCCGCCUGAGUAGUACGUACGCAAGUAUGAAACUUAAAGGAAUUGACGGGACUCCGCACAAGCGGUGGAUCAUGUCGUUUAAUUCGAAGGUACCCGAAAAACCUCACCAGGUCUUGACAUGCUUUUGCAAAGUUGUAGAAAUACAGUGGAGGUUAUCAAUUGCACAGGUGGUGCAUGGUUGUCGUCAGCUCGUGUCGUGAGAUGUUGGGUUAAGUCCCGCAACGAGCGCAACCCUUGUUGUUAAUUGCCAGCAUGUAAUGAUGGGGACUUUAGCAAGACUGCCAGUGAUAAAUUGGAGGAGGGUGGGGACGACGUCAAAUCAUCAUGCCCCUUAUGACCUGGGCUACAAACGUGAUACAAUGGCUGUUACAAAGGGUAGCUAUAGCGUAAGCUUUUGGCGAAUCUCAAAAAAGCAGUCUCAGUUCGGAUUGAAGUCUGCAACUCGACUUCAUGAAGUUGGAAUCGCUAGUAAUCGCGAAUCAGCAUGUCGCGGUGAAUACGUUCCCAGGCCUUGUACACACCGCCCGUCACACCAUGGGAGUUGGAUUCACCCGAAGGCGCUGCGCUAACCGCAAGGAGGCAGGCGACCACGGUGGGUUUAGCGACUGGGGUG
rnacentral:rRNA from 1 species